rnacentral:rRNA from 1 species
UAUCCUACGGGGGGCAGCAGUAGGGAAUUUUCGUCAAUGGGCGCAAGCCUGAACGAGCAAUGCCGCGUGAACGAGGAAGGUCUUCGGAUCGUAAAGUUCUGUUGAAGGGGAAAAAGAGCGGAGAGAGGAAAUGAACUCCGAUUGAUAUUACCCUUCGAGGAAGUCACGGCUAACUACGUGCCAGCGGCCGCGGUAAUACGUAGGUGGCGAGCGUUAUCCGGAUUUAUUGGGUUUAAAGGGUGCGUAGGCGGAGUGUCAAGUCAGCGGUAAAAUUUCGGGGCUCAACCCCGUCGUGCCGUUGAAAA